GAUCCUGGCUCAGGAUGAACGCUAGCUACAGGCUUAACACAUGCAAGUCGAGGGGCAGCAUUGGGGUAGCAAUACCGUGGUGGCGACCGGCGCACGGGUGCGUAACGCGUAUGCAACCUGCCCCCAUCAGGGGAAUAGCCCGCCGAAAGGCGGAUUAAUGCCCCAUAGGCCCAGGGCGCCGCAUGGCGCUAUGGGUAAAGCUCCGGCGGAUGGGGAUGGGCAUGCGUGCCAUUAGCUAGUUGGGGCGGUAACGGCGCACCAAGGCGACGAUGGCUAGGGGGUCUGAGAGGAUGGUCCCCCACACUGGUACUGAGACACGGACCAGACUCCUACGGGAGGCAGCAGUGAGGAAUAUUGGUCAAUGGGCGGAAGCCUGAACCAGCCAUUGCCGCGUGCAGGAUGACGGCCCUACGGGUUGUAAACUGCUUUUCCCCGGGAAGAAUAAGCCCCUCGUGAGGGGUGAUGCCGGUACCGGGGGAAUAAGGAUCGGCUAACUCCGUGCCAGCAGCGGC
rnacentral:rRNA from 1 species